rnacentral:rRNA from 1 species
CCCGUUCGUCUGUUCGAGGCUUCCUGAGCCGUAUCCGCCAUGGCCAUCGUCAUCGGCGCGGCCACCGGCCUCCCCAAGCCCUGAGACCGCGUCCGGGAGAACCGCCGCCAUAGACUUCGUUCAUCCCGAGCAUCUAAUCGAGUGGAGCCGCCCGAUAGGCUCGCCAUCGAGCUCAUCUUCACCACGUACUUCACCGGCCGCCAUCGUCGAUUGCCUCGUCUUCAGCCCGUCCCCGACCACCUCGACCUCACCUUCGGCAUCGCGACGUUGGAGUCCAGGAGCCAGACGCCACCGUCGACGACGACUCCUACUACCCUGGAGGUGCCUGCUACUACGUGCAGGCCGCUGACGACGACCAUGAGUAGUUUAGGAGGAUCCCAGGCAGGAGGCUCACGCCUCUUCGAUCUGUAUCCCAGUUUGUGUUAGCCUUCUUAAGGCAAACUUGUUUAACUUAUGUUUGUACUCAUAUAUUGUUGCUUUCGCUGACUCGUCUAUGAUCGAGCUCUUGUAUUCGAGCCCUCGAGGCCCCUGGCUUGUAAUAUGAUGCUUGUAUGACUUAUUUUAUUUGUAGAGUUGUGUUGUGAUAUCUUCCC